AGUGAACGCUGGCGGUAGGCCUAACACAUGCAAGUCGAACGGCAGCACAGUAAGAGCUUGCUCUUACGGGUGGCGAGUGGCGGACGGGAGAGGAAUACAUCGGAAUCUACUUUUUCGUGGGGGAUAACGUAGGGAAACUUACGCUAAUACCGCAUACGACCUACGGGUGAAAGCAGGGGAUCUUCGGACCUUGCGCGAUUGAAUGAGCCGAUGUCGGAUUAGCUAGUUGGCGGGGUAAAGGCCCACCAAGGCGACGAUCCGUAGCUGGUCUGAGAGGAUGAUCAGCCACACUGGAACUGAGACACGGUCCAGACUCCUACGGGAGGCAGCAGUGGGGAAUAUUGGACAAUGGGCGCAAGCCUGAUCCAGCCAUACCGCGUGGGUGAAGAAGGCCUUCGGGUUGUAAAGCCCUUUUGUUGGGAAAGAAAAGCAGCAGGUGAAUACCCCGCUGUUCUGACGGUACCCAAAGAAUAAGCACCGGCUAACUUCGUG
rnacentral:rRNA from 1 species